AUUGAACGCUGGCGGCAUGCUUUACACAUGCAAGUCGAACGGCAGCGGGGUAGUGCUUGCACUACUGCCGGCGAGUGGCGAACGGGUGAGUAAUAUAUCGGAACGUACCGAGUAAUGGGGGAUAACCAAUCGAAAGAUUGGCUAAUACCGCAUACGUCCUGAGGGAGAAAGCGGGGGAUCGCAAGACCUCGCGUUAUUCGAGCGGCCGAUAACUGAUUAGCUAGUUGGUGGGGUAAAGGCCUACCAAGGCGACGAUCAGUAGCGGGUCUGAGAGGACGAUCCGCCACACUGGGACUGAGACACGGCCCAGACUCCUACGGGAGGCAGCAGUGGGGAAUUUUGGACAAUGGGGGCAACCCUGAUCCAGCCAUGCCGCGUGUAUGAAGAAGGCCUUCGGGUUGUAAAGUACUUUUGUUAGGGAAGAAAAGGGAAGUGCUAAUACCACUUUUUGCUGACGGUACCUAAAGAAUAAGCACCGGCUAACUACGUGCCAGCAGCCGCGGUAAUACGUAGGGUGCGAGCGUUAAUCGGAAUUACUGGGCGUAAAGCGAGCGCAGACGGUUAUUUAAGCAGGAUGUGAAAUCCCCGGGCUUAACCUGGGAACUGCGUUCUGAACUGGAUGGCUAGAGUGUGUCAGAGGGGGGUAGAAUUCCACGUGUAGCAGUGAAAUGCGUAGAGAUGUGGAGGAAUACCGAUGGCGAAGGCAGCCCCCUGGGAUAACACUGACGUUCAUGCUCGAAAGCGUGGGUAGCAAACAGGAUUAGAUACCCUGGUAGUCCACGCCCUAAACGAUGUCGAUUAGCUGUUGGGCAACUUGAUUGCUUAGUAGCGUAGCUAAC
rnacentral:rRNA from 1 species